UACGGAGGGGGCUAGCGUUGUUCGGAAUUACUGGGCGUAAAGCGCACGUAGGCGGCGAUUUAAGUCAGAGGUGAAAGCCCGGGGCUCAACCCCGGAAUAGCCUUUGAGACUGGAUUGCUAGAAUCUUGGAGAGGCGAGUGGAAUUCCGAGUGUAGAGGUGAAAUUCGUAGAUAUUCGGAAGAACACCAGUGGCGAAGGCGGCUCGCUGGACACGUAUUGACGCUGAGGUGCGAAAGCGUGGGGAGCAAACAGG
rnacentral:rRNA from 1 species